rnacentral:piRNA from 1 species
UUAGCUAGACUCACUAAGGGGCA